AGUGAACGCUGGCGGCGUGCCUAAUACAUGUAAGUCGACGAUAUGGCGCACGGGUGAGUAUAAUAUAGCUAAUCUGCCCCUUGCUGGAGGACAACCGUUAGAAAUGACUGCUAAUACUCCAUAAAGGGAUGAGACUACAUCGUAUCAGCUAGUCGGUGGGGUAACGGCCUACAGAGGCUAUUACGCUUAACUGGUCUGAGAGGAUGAUCAGUCACAUUGGAACUGAUACACGGUCCAAACUCCUACGGGAGGCAGCAGUAGGGAAUCUUCGGCAAUGGACGAAAGUCUGACCGAGCAACGCCGCGUGAGUGAAGAAGGUUUUCGGAUCGUAAAACUCGGUUGUUAGAGAAGCGGUAUCUAACCAGAAAGCCACGGCUAACUACGUGCCAGCAGCCGCGGUAAUAC
rnacentral:rRNA from 1 species